rnacentral:rRNA from 1 species
CCCAGUUCAGAUUGCAGUCUGCAACUCGACUGCAUGAAGUCGGAAUCGCUAGUAAUCGCGGAUCAGCAUGCCGCGGUGAAUACGUUCCCGGGCCUUGUACACACCGCCCGUCACACCAUGAGAGUCGGGAGCACCCGAAGUCCGUAGCCUAACCGCAAGGGGGCGCGGCCGAAGGUGGGUUCGAUAAUUGGGGUGAAGUCGUAACAAGGUAGC